rnacentral:tRNA from 1 species
UACGGGUUGCUCAGUGUACGCCCUGAGUAGCGACUGACAAUCGCUCAUAACCUAAAGGUCAGAGGUUCAAAUCCUCUCCCCGCACCCA